CCCUAUGGGGUGCCGCAGGCGGAUUGGUAAGUCAGGGGUGAAAUCCCACAGCUCCACUGUGGAACUGCCCUUGAUACUGUCAGUCUAGUGUAUAGUUGAAGUUGGCGGAAUGUGUCAUGUAGCGGUGAAAUGCUUAGAUAUGACACAGAACACCGAUCGCGAAGGCAGCUAGCUAAGCUAUAACUGACGCUCAUGCACGAAAGCGUGGGGAUCAAACA
rnacentral:rRNA from 1 species